UCUGAUGCCAUGGCAAACGUGAGGAGAUUCUUUGCACCUUCAUGAUGACAUCGCCGUUGUGCUGCCGAUCAAUGCCCGUUUCUGUUGCGCUUCUGAGCCUCUCCCACAUGUUUGGUGCUUCAUCUUCCAUUCACCUUGAAUGACCCUAUUCCAUUUUCUUCGAGGUUGCAAACCUUUGUUGUUUUAAGUUCUAAUUUUCAAGU
rnacentral:lncRNA from 1 species